rnacentral:rRNA from 1 species
CCUACGGGAGGCAGCAGUGGGGAAUAUUGGACAAUGGGCGAAAGCCUGAUCCAGCAAUGCCGCGUGAAUGAUGAAGGCCUUAGGGUUGUAAAGUUCUUUCAGUAGGGAAGAGAAUGACGGU